GCCUUGGCAGGGCCAGCGUCGCUCAGCACUGGGCAUGGCGGCUGGCGGGCGGGGAGGAAGAGGGAGCGAUGGGGAGAAAUUCAAAGGGAGCCCCUCAAAGGCCCCGCCCGCCCCCCACCAGGCAGGCAGAGGGGUCCGAGGAGGAAAAUGGCCUUCGCUGUGCAGUGACCCGGGACAAGGAUGCGCGUCCAGGGGAAGCCCCAGCGCUCUCGUGGCAGUCUGCGCUGGGGGGGGGGGGUUCCCCUGCCCCAACGCCAAUACGGGAGGCUGUUCUGCCAUACACGUGUGGCCCAGAUUGAGAAGAGGGGGAGGGGAGGAAACCGACGGCUGCUGGGGGGCUUCGGAGAGCCUGGUGGAGUUGUGAACCGCUCUGACUAGUCUAGAAAACCCCUCGGCAGGCCUCUAGACGGACACAGGCAAAGGCCUCCUCGACAAAAAUCCCCUUUUGGUUGUGGCAAAGAACUGAAAAUAAAAUGGCGCCCAUCCGCGGGGAAGUGGGGCUCCGUGAGAGGUCAAGGAAGAGGCCUUCCCAAGAGCGGCCCUCUGCGACCUCGGGUGAGGGCUGGGCCCAGGCCUCUGUGCUUGGGGAGAGAAGGGAGCGCCACGGCCCCGCCCCCACCCCUGGGGGGGCCCCUGCCCCCCUUCCCGUGGCCGAUUUUCAGGAUUACACCAAGAUCGGGCACACGUGGGUCAGGAGAGCAACAGAAGGUGCCAGAACAGCCCCAAAAGCUGCUCGGAGGGGGAGCUGCGGAGGCAACGCACACACGGAGGCUGGUCAGACGGGCUGGUCAGGACGCCCAGCCGCGGACGCGAGCAGCGCAGCCACCUGUCGGCCUCCCUGAGCUGUCAUCGUCCUGCUCGUGAAUUGUUACUAAGAGAGAAAGUAAAGGCUUAAAAGAAAAAGGGAGGAAAGAAUGCUCAGAAGAAAGGAGUCACCAGGUACUCAGGUCAAGAAAUAAGAUUCAGAAGAGAAAAGGCAGCUUCUGGAGUAGGAUUAUCUUUCUUCCAACCCCCCAAAAGAUGGCCACCCAUUCUCCAACUGGAGGGAUGCCAGUGUUGGGAGAAUGCUGACCAAUGUUAACCUUAUUCUCUAGUUCCUCUCCAACCUCCCAGGCUAAGUAAGGCUUCCCACCCCACUCCAGCUCUCCUUCCCCAGCGGACCCAGGCCCACCCUCUUACCCGGGCCAGAUCCAAAUCAGCCUGCUUGCGGUGUCUCCAAAAUAAGAUCGAGGGUCCUGAGUGGGGCCUGGUGAUGGGCUCGCCAUAGAUGAAGAGGCGGAUGAAGGCCGCCACGACCACCAACAGAUUAAGCAACCAGAAAAACAAAGUGGGCAGUAGCCACUGAGACCAGCUGGGGCUACCUGGUAUGGGGAGAAGAUUGGGCAAGGUUGGGGGGGAGGUAAGGCAGUCCGACUCCUGCUCCUGCUUCGACCUGCUCUGCAGGUGCCAAGAACACCACCUUCUCCUCUCCUCUACCCUUCCCCACCUGCAAAAUAAAACUGUUCUCUGCAGAGUGGCA